rnacentral:rRNA from 1 species
ACGAACGCUGGCGGCAUGCCUAACACAUGCAAGUCGUACGAAGGCUUCGGCCUUAGUGGCGCACGGGUGAGUAACACGUGGGAACCUGCCUUUCGGUUCGGGAUAACGUCUGGAAACGGACGCUAACACCGGAUACGCCCUUAGGGGGAAAGUUUACGCCGAGAGAGGGGCCCGCGUCCGAUUAGGUAGUUGGUGGGGUAACGGCCCACCAAGCCGACGAUCGGUAGCUGGUCUGAGAGGAUGAUCAGCCACACUGGGACUGAGACACGGCCCAGACUCCUACGGGAGGCAGCAGUGGGGAAUAUUGGACAAUGGGCGCAAGCCUGAUCCAGCAAUGCCGCGUGAGUGAUGAAGGCCUUAGGGUUGUAAAGCUCUUUCGCACGCGACGAUGAUGACGGUAGCGUGAGAAGAAGCCCCGGCUAACUUCGU